CCGUGCUAGGCGGGGAGUCAGCGGUGCCCUGUCACUUGCAAUCCGCUUUAGCAAGGCCGAAUGCCGUUCUGAGGGUCUGGCCAUCGGGGUCAGUGCACCGAGGGAGGUGUUGACGGUCAGGUCCCGCGCGACGCAAGCCCGUGAACCAGGUCAGGUCCGGAAGGAAGCAGCCUUAAGCGGAAACUACGGGUGCCGCGGGUCAGCCUAACCCGAGCCGAACUUGAUGAAAACGCCCGAUGGCUUCGUUUCGAAGGCGGUUGCACGG
rfam:Solirubrobacterales bacterium 67-14 SCNpilot_bf_inoc_scaffold_31, whole genome shotgun sequence.